rnacentral:rRNA from 1 species
GACGAACGCUGGCGGCGCGCUUAACACAUGCAAGUCGAACGGAAAGGCCUGCUUUCCCUUGUGGAUUGCGGGUACUCGAGUGGCGAACGGGUGAGUAACACGUGAGUGAUCUGCCCCCAACUUGGGUAUAAGCCUGGGAAACUGGGUCUAAUUCCCGAUAGGACUGCAGGGUGGUGCCUGUGGUGGAAAACGAUUUUCUAGUGGUUGGGGAUGAGCUCGCGGCCUAUCAGCUUGUUGGUGGGGUAAUGGCCUACCAAGGCGGCGACGGGUAGCCGGCCUGGGAGGGUGGACGGCCACAUUGGGACUGAGAUACGGCCCAGACUCCUACGGGAGGCAGCAGUGGGGAAUAUUGCACAAUGGGCGGAAGCCUGAUGCAGCGACGCCGCGUGGGGGAUGACGGCCCUCGGGUUGUAAACUCCUUUCGACCGCGAGGAAGCCACCUGGUUGGAAGGGUGGUGACGGUAGUGGUAGAAGAAGCACCGGCUAACUACGUG